rnacentral:rRNA from 1 species
CAUGCGAGUCGAACAUUUCUUAACUAUGUAAGAAGUGUGGCAUACGGCUCAGUAACACGUGGUCAACGUACCCUAAAGACAUGGAUAACCCCGGGAAACUGGGAUUAAUAUGUGAUAGGUCAUUUUUCCUGGAAUCGGUUUAUGACUUAAAGGAUUGUUGAGCAAGUUUGAUUAAUUGCUUUAGGAUGGGACUGCGACCGAUCAGGUUGUUGGUGGGGUAAUGGCCUACCAAGCCGAUUACCGGUGCGGGCUUUGAGAGAAGGAGCCUGGAGAUGGACACUGAGAAAAGGGUCUAGGCCCUACGGGGCGCAGCAGGCGCGAAAACUUUGCAAUGUGCGAAAGCACGACAAGGUUAAUCCGAGUGCAACAUGCUGAAUGUAGCUUUUGGUAAAUGUAAAUAUUUUAUUGAAUAAGGGGAGGGAAAGUCUGGUGUCAGCCGCCGCGGUAAUACCAGCUCCCCGAGUGGUCGGGACGAUUAUUGGGCCUAAAGCAUCCGUAGCCGGUUCUGUAGGUCUUAUGUUAAAAUCAAUUGCUUAACAAUUGAACUGCAUGAGAUACCACAAAACUAGGAGGCGGGAGAGGUGGACGGUAUUCCACGGGUAGGGGUAAAAUCCUCUGAACCGUGGAGGACCACCAGUGGCGAAGGCGGUCCACCAGAACGCGCUCGACGGUGAGGGAUGAAAGCUGGGGUAGCGAACCGGAUUAGAUACCCGGGUAGUCCCAGCUGUAAACGAUGCAAGCUAGGUGAUGCAUUAGCCACGUGUUAAUGCAGUGCCGCAGGGAAGCCGUUAAGCUUGCCGCCUGGGGAGUACGGUCGCAAGGCUGAAACUUAAAGGAAUU